UGGGGAAUUUUGGACAAUGGGGGAAACCCUGAUCCAGCCAUUCCGCGUGAGUGAAGAAGGCCUUCGGGUUGUAAAGCUCUUUCGGCAGGAACGAAACGGUGUGGGCCAAUACCCUGCAUCAAUGACGGUACCUGAAGAAGAAGCACCGGCUAACUACGUGCCAGCAGCCGCGGUAAUACGUAGGGUGCGAGCGUUAAUCGGAAUUACUGGGCGUAAAGCGUGCGCAGGCGGUUUUGUAAGACAGCUGUGAAAUCCCCGGGCUCAACCUGGGAACUGCGGUUGUGACUGCAAGACUGGAGUACGGCAGAGGGGGGUGGAAUUCCACGUGUAGCAGUGAAAUGCGUAGAGAUGUGGAGGAACACCGAUGGCGAAGGCAGCCCCCUGGGCUAGUACUGACGCUCAUGCACGAAAGCGUGGGGAGCAAACAGGAUUAGAUACCCCCGUAGUCC
rnacentral:rRNA from 1 species